UACGAAGGGGGCUAGCGUUGCUCGGAAUUACUGAGCGUAAAGGGAGCGUAGGCGGACAUUUAAGUCAGGGGUGAAAUCCCAGAGCUCAACUCUGGAACUGCCUUUGAUACUGGGUGUCUUGAGUGUGAGAGAGGUAUGUGGAACUCCGAGUGUAGAGGUGAAAUUCGUAGAUAUUCGGAAGAACACCAGUGGCGAAGGCGACAUACUGGCUCAUUACUGACGCUGAGGCUCGAAAGCGUGGGGAGCAAACAGG
rnacentral:rRNA from 1 species